rnacentral:rRNA from 1 species
GACGAACGCUGGCGGCGUGCCUAACACAUGCAAGUGGAGCGACGAACCAGGGCUUGCCCUGGGGCAAAGCCGCGAACGGGUGAGUAACACGUGGGUAACCUGCCCCGACGACCGGGACAACCCGAGGAAACUCGGGCUAAUACCGGAUGUGCUCGUCACACCCAAGUGUGCCGAGUAAAGGAAGCUUCGGCCUCCGCAUCGGGAGGGGCCCGCGGCCCAUUAGCUUGUUGGUGAGGUAACGGCUCACCAAGGCGACGAUGGGUAGCUGGUCUGAGAG